rnacentral:rRNA from 1 species
UACGUAGGGGCCAAGCGUUGUCCGGAUUUAUUGGGCGUAAAGAGCUCGUAGGCGGUUGGGUAAGUCGGGUGUGAAAACUCCAGGCUCAACUUGGAGAUGCCACCCGAUACUGCUCUGACUUGAGUUCGGUAGGGGGAGACUGGAAUUCCUGGUGUAGCGGUGGAAUGCGCAGAUAUCAGGAGGAACACCGAUGGCGAAGGCAGGUCUCUGGGCCGCAACUGACGCUGAGGAGCGAAAGCAUGGGGAGCGAACAGG